rnacentral:lncRNA from 1 species
UGAAAUUGUGAUGUCCUUUUAAUUUUCUGUUAUGAUUAGUGCUUUAUACCAACUGUUAAUCAAGCUUGUUAAACAUGAUUAGGCAAAAUGCAAUGGAUUAGUGAAAUGAUCAUGUUAUGUAACUUGGCCAAAAUGCCCUCAUGCUUAUGUGACCAAUGGAACAGUGUAAAUUCACCUUGCAGCAAGUCCAAAACUCUGUUUUAAGGCCAAUGCAAUUGGUUUGGAAUGAAA